UUCUCUUCGCUAGGGAAAGCUCCAUGAGCAAGGAUCUAUGACGCCUGUCUUGUUCUCAUCUUUCUCACUUCUUCCCUCAAGUAGUUUCUGAAGUUUUGCCUCAUCUACAAAAUCUUUGUGAGCUUAAAGGCUAUGAGGGAAUGUCUCUCUUUGACCUGUUUUGAAGCCGUUGGUCUAUUUAUUUGUACAUAAGAGAAUAUUUUUAAGUGGCUGUUCUUCUCCUUUAUAUCUAUAAAACAUCAAAUUCUCUGAAUAUCAAUGAACCUAAUCACAUUUGUGUAAAAGAAAAGCUGUUUUUUCAUAGUUGGUUCUUU